AAAAAUUGAAAAUUAUGUUUUGCAUAAAAAUUAUGUUUUACAUAAAAAUUAUGUUUUGCAUAAUUUUUGUGAAAUCUGAUUUCUAAACAUUUCAAAUGGUAUAGAUCAUGUUCAACAGUGUCAAUCAUCGAUUUUGAAGCUCCAUCAUCGAAAAACAAACGGGUGACAACGGAGCUCGUUUGCUAUCGAUAGUAUUCUGGCUCAACUCUCUCUCUCUCUAUAUAUAUAUACUAUGAUAUCAGAAGCAUAGUGAAUCUGAUGCUUCCGAUUUUUUUGCUAUUGGAUAAAAAAUUAUACGGUUGGGAUGAUUGCGGUCCUUCCAGGGUUGAGUAGUACAUAGUAUCAAUCCAAAUGUUAUAAAUGAUGAAAAGGGUUGGUUUAAGGGCCAAAAAAUCGAAAGCACCGGAUCCUCCAUGCUUCCGAUAUUUUUAUUUGAAUUUUUGGAAAAAAAUUUAGUUUACAGUGUUUUAUUCAUUUUUUCAAAAAUUCAAAUUCGUGAAUAAUUAACGAAUUAUUUGUGAAUUAACUAAUAUAGCUUAUUACGUC
rnacentral:lncRNA from 1 species